GGGGUUAUAGUGUAAUCUGGCAUCAUCUGGGACUCCAGUUGUCUUUGAAGAAAAAUGCGCAAACUGAAAACAGUAUCUAUUGGUUAAUGAUGAUCAAUUGGAGUACUGAGACAGAGAGAUAUCCUAGGAUCGGGGUUCAAAUCCCUGUGACCCCA
rnacentral:tRNA from 1 species